AACGAACGCUGGCGGCAGGCUUAACACAUGCAAGUCGAGCGCCCCGUACGGGGCGCGGCGGACGGGUGUGUAACGCGUGGGAACGUAUCUUUUGGUUUUGAACAACUCCGCGAGACUGGAGCUAUUACCGGAUAAGCCCUAACGGGGAAAGAUUUAUCGCCGAAGGAUCGGCCCGCGUCUGAUUAGCUAGUUGGUGGGGUAACGGCUCACCAAGGCGACGAGCAGUAGCUGGUCUGAGAGGAUGAUCAGCCACACUGGGACUGAGACACGGCCCAGACUCCUACGGGAGGCAGCAGUGGGGAAUAUUGGACAAUGGGCGCAAGCCUGAUCCAGCCAUGCCGCGUGAGUGAUGAAGGCCUUAGGGUUGUAAAGCUCUUUUGUCCGGGAAGAUAAUGACUGUACCGGAAGAAUAAGCCCCGGCUAACUUCGUG
rnacentral:rRNA from 1 species